CCCGCUGAACUUAAGCAUAUCAAUAAGCGGAGGAAAAGAAACUAACAAGGAUUCCCCUAGUAACUGCGAGUGAAGCGGGAAAAGCUCAAAUUUGAAAUCUGGCGGUCCGUUGGACUGUCCGAGUUGUAAUCUAGAGAAGUGUCUACCUGUGCUGUACCAUGUACAAGUCUCCUGGCAAUGGAGCAUCACAGAGGGAGAGAAUCCCGUCUGUGACAUGCACUACCUGUGCGAUAUGGUGCGCUCUCGAAGAGUCGAGUUGUUUGGGAAUGCAGCUCAAAAUGGGUGUGUAAAUGCCAUCUAAAGCUAAAUAUUGGCGAGAGACCGAUAGCGAACAAGUACCGUGAGGGAAAGAUGAAAAGAACUUUGAAAAGAGAGUUAAACAGUACGUGAAAUUGCUGAAAGGGAACCGCUUGAAGUCAGUCCCGUCAGCUAGAAAUCAGUCUUGCUUCUGCUUGAUGUACUUUCUGGCUUGACGGGUCAGCAUCAAUUGUGACCGCUGGAUAAAGUCAUCGGGAAUGUGGCAUCUUCUGAUGUGUUAUAGCCUGUCUGUCGCAUACAGUGGUAGGGAUUGAGGAACUCAGCACGCCGCGAUGGCCAGGUCUUUUGACCACGUUCGUGCUUAGGAUGCUGGCAUAAUGGCUUUAAUCGACCCGUCUUGAAACACGG
rnacentral:rRNA from 1 species